GCACCCGUAGCUCAAUGGAUAGAGUAGCUGACUUCGAAUCAGUUGGUUGCAGGUUCGAGUCCUGCCGGGUGCACCA
rnacentral:tRNA from 1 species